rnacentral:lncRNA from 10 species
AUGAGAGACAGCAGUUGGCAAGACAGUGAGAGACAGCAAGAGAUGGCAAGUGACAGUUAUUGUUAAGAUGACAAAUGGAGAGAUGGCAAGAAAUAGAGAAGCAGUCAGUGAUGGAGGCUGCAAGAGUUGUAACACUAACCAAAGGCUCUUUUUAGAAUCAUCGUUUUCCCUGGCAGGUGGUACAGCCAAGCAGACAGGCAAGUAAGUGGCCAUACUGCUACUGCCUCAUGUAGGAUCCGGCAGGCUGGUGGGUUAUCAGUCCUCACGUGGGACCCUCCCACCAUGGCAGCUGAGCACAUCCAAGCUGGGGGAUCCUGAAGAGACCUUCACCUGGGUGCCACGUGGAAGAUUGGCCAGCACCAUUUUGACUCCUGUGGAUGGCUAAAGUGACCCAGCAGGCUUCCUGAGCCUUAGGCAUUACCUGUCAUCUUCACUCUUGGAGACCUCAAUCCUCAGUUCCAGGUAAAGACAAUCCUUGCACAAGGCUUCCAACUCGACCCGCCUACUGACCUGGAGAAUGAAAGUGUCCUGCCUCGGGGCCCCUCAGAUCAGCACCCAAACUGCACCUGGUCACCUGUCUACAUUCAGAUUUAGAUGAAAGCCACACCAUGGAGGCAGCCAGAGGCCCAUGGGAGAUGUCUGGAUUCGCAGAGG